rnacentral:lncRNA from 1 species
UGAGCUUAGUUUUUAGAUGGAUGUGUGUAGCUAAGCUCUAGCUUCUCAAGGAAGUUUUCUCAAAGAAGCUUUUCAAGGAAGUUUUCUUAAGAAAGCUUCUCAAGGAAGCUACCUAGUCUAUAAAUAGAAGCAUGUAUAACACUUGUUGUAACUUUGAUGAAUGAGAGUCUUGUGAGACACAACUCAAAGUUCAACUUCUCUCCCUUUUUCUUCCUUCAAUUUCGU